rnacentral:rRNA from 1 species
AUUGAACGCUGGCGGUAUGCCUUACACAUGCAAGUCGAACGGUAGAGGGGCAACCCUUGAGAGUGGCGAACGGGUGAGUAAUACAUCGGAACGUGCCCAGUCGUGGGGGAUAACGUAGCGAAAGCUACGCUAAUACCGCAUACGACCUGAGGGUGAACGCGGGGGAUGGCAAGACCUCGCGCGAUCGGAGCGGCCGAUGGCAGAUUAGGUAGUUGGUGGGGUAAAGGCCUAACAAGCCUGCGAGCUGUGGCUGGUCUGAGAGGACGACCAGCCACACUGGGACUGAGACACGGCCCAGACUCCUACGGGAGGCAGCAGUGGGGAAUUUUGGACAAUGGGCGCAAGCCUGAUCCAGCCAUACCGCGUGCGGGAAGAAGGCCUUCGGGUUGUAAACCGCUUUUGUCAGGGAAGAAAUCUUCUGGGCUAAUACCUCGGGAGGAUGACGGUACCUGAAGAAUAAGCACCGGCUAACUACGUGCCAGCAGCCGCCGUAAGAC